rnacentral:rRNA from 1 species
UUGGACCUGAUAUCAGU